CCUACGGGUGGCAGCAGUGAGGAAUAUUGGUCAAUGGACGAGAGUCUGAACCAGCCAAGUAGCGUGAAGGAUGACUGCCCUAUGGGUUGUAAACUUCUUUUAUAUGGGAAUAAAAUGUUCCACGUGUGGGAUUUUGUAUGUACCAUAUGAAUAAGGAUCGGCUAACUCCGUGCCAGCAGCCGCGGUAAUACGGAGGAUCCGAGCGUUAUCCGGAUUUAUUGGGUUUAAAGGGAGCGUAGGUGGAUUGUUAAGUCAGUUGUGAAAGUUUGCGGCUCAACCGUAAAAUUGCAGUUGAAACUGGCAGUCUUGAGUACAGUAGAGGUGGGCGGAAUUCGUGGUGUAGCGGUGAAAUGCUUAGAUAUCACGAAGAACUCAGAUUGCGAAGGCAGUUCACUGGACUGCAACUGACACUGAGGCUCGAAAGUGUGGGUAUCAAACAGGAUUAGAUACCCUAGUAGUC
rnacentral:rRNA from 1 species